AAAUUUUCACUGUAAGUUGAUCAAGGUAUAAUUAUUCGAUAGCUAAGUUUGAGCUGUUAUAUCUCCGGAUUCAAUGAACCGAAUGGAAUGAAAUUUUUACCAUUUAUGACUUAUAUGUAUAAUGAGCUUUGGAAAACGUUUGACUUUACUAGAAAUUGCUAAUAACGGAAAAAGUUAUGGCGAUUUCAUUUAUUUUAUUAUUUUUAGUAAAUUGGUCUAUUUUUGAUAGGGGUGUGUUGUUCCUUUCCAUCAAAACAUUUGUACAGGGGAUAGACAAAAUGAUCGGGACAGGUAAAAAUUUCACUUUUAAGGAAUGGUGAAAAAGCUGUAACUUUUUUGAAAAGUGCUUCAAAAAAUCUAUUUUUUUACUGGAAGUUGAUCAACUAGUUGUGCAUCAAUGAUCAAAAUUAAGGAAAGAUCGAGCGAUUCUACAUGACGUUAGAAAGAUUCUAGAAAAAGUUAUAAUUAUCCGAUAGCCAACUUUGAACUGUUAUAUCUCCGGAUUCAAUGAACCGAAUGCAAUGAAAUUUUAAGCGUUUUUGACUUAUAUAAUAUAUAUUCAAGUCAAUAAGAGGGAAUUCAAAUGAACUAUAAUAAGCAUAUUGAGUUUUGAAACGAUGUUGAACUUUUGGAUAAUUUGAUGUUAUUUAAGAAAAAUAAUCUAAUCGGUAUAAUUUUCUUCCUUGCUAGUAAUUUUAAGUCAAGUGAAAAGUUUUUCAUUGCACAUUAUACAAGUCAUAAAUUGUCAAAAUUUCAUUGCAUUUGGUUCAUUGAAUCCGAAGAUAUAACUGCUCAAAGUUAGCAAUCGAAUAAUUAUACCUUUUUUCUAGAAUCUUAAUAGGUUUGUGCUUAAUGGGUCGAUCUUUUCCGAAUUUGGACCACUAAAACACAAUUAGUUGAUCAACUUACAAUAAAUAUUUGAUGCACUUUUCGGAAAGUUACAGAUAGUUGAACAUUUUUUGAAAAGCGAAGAUUUUGCCUGUCCCGAUAAUUUUGUCUAUCCCCUGGAGAUGCUGCUCCUCUGUUCUGUGGGCAUAGUCCGUGAUUUGAGUUGAGCUCGCCGACUACAUUGCCAUUGUUCCUGCUUCCCAGAUUUAGUAGAAGAAACCGAGUUUUAAACGAACAGGGAUUACGAAACCACAUUAUGGUUCUCUCAAUUUGCAAUCAGUCAGUGUAAAGACACAAUCUCUUGCAAGGAUACUGUAGUUACCUGCCAACGUAUCUAAAUAAAUCAAGGUAAGAAAUUCCCGCAAAUGUCAAUAACGAGACCCACCAACAAAUCUGCGCUAGUUAUAAAAAGUUGUCAUUAUUGUCAUUAUUUCUGCAAAAUUUGUGAAGUUUUAUUAGCUUGGAUGUUUCGAAAUGCUGUAAAACUAUGAUAAGAACCAAUUAUUUUGUUUGUUACCGAUUUUCAUAUACUGAUAUUUCCUGUUUUAUUGCAUUUAAGUCACUUUUAAUCCAGUGAGAUGCAAUUAAAUAUGUAAUUGCUUCUAUCAUUUGACAGCUUAAUUUCUCUAAAAAGUUUGCAAAAAAGUGAUGUGUCCAUACAAAUCAGCGCAAACUUUAUAACUAUUUUUUGCUUUUUUUCUUUGUCUCACUAAUACAUAAAUAUUUGUGGGAGUAUCUUACCUUGAUAUUUAGAUGCGUUGGUUACCUUCAACGAUUGUGAAACUGCACUCUUGUAUCAUGCAAUGUGCGUGGGAUUGUCAGUAGCAAAAGGAAUCGCAUGUAUGAAUCCAACUUUUCUUAGGAUAUGCAACAAAUGUCGCAGAGCCAAGGAGAAACGCAGAUCUUCUAAAAAGGCGAGUACCAUUGAUAGUACAACCACCAGUAGCAUCGUCGCUGUGUUCAAAAUGGAAAUGGAAAGAAUGAAAGUAGUGCUGGAUGAUGGGCCAAUUUCUUCACCUCGGUUUAACUGGUAAGUCAUGCUUACCCAUCAGUAGGUCGGCUCUAGAGGCACGUUUCCUCCAUGCGGGCUUACCCAUACAGUAAAACCUGGUUUAACGCUUAACGCUGGUUUAAGCCAGGGUGAAGAAAUCGCCCCUUAGUCAUAAAUUCGACAGUUUGAACUCUUCACUGUUUACAUCUACAAGACUUGAUCAUGCCAUCCAAUAUCAAGGACACUCCAAUAAAGCUCCUUAUGUAACCGACGAAGAAUUUAAGUGAAUGGUUGAAGAAACUGGCGGACCCGCAAAAAUAUUUUCGUUCAAAUGUUUGGUACCAGGGUAGAAAGAAACAUCAGGUUUGAACUACAACAUCUUCUGUACAAAAUCGUCGGCAACGUCAAACACGGUAUCCCAAGUAACAAUUCCAUUGCUGAUUGGUUUUGUUUGAUUUUUAUUAUGGUUUUAUUACAGCAAUAAUCAAAACUCACAGUUUUAUGACUACUUUUAUGAAAACCAUUGAUGAAAUGUUUCAUAGUAUACUUGAAGAUAUCCAUAAAGCCAGAUUUCAAGAGUAAACAAAACUCUCCGAUAUGUAAACCUUCUGGCAUUCAUUAUUACCACAAUAAAACU